rnacentral:rRNA from 2 species
UGGGGAAUAUUGGGCAAUGGAGGAAACUCUGACCCAGCGACGCCGCGUGCGGGAUGAAGGCCUUCGGGUUGUAAACCGCUUUCAGCAGGGAAGAAGCGAAAGUGACGGUACCUGCAGAAGAAGCACCGGCUAACUAUGUGCCAGCAGCCGCGGUAAUACAUAGGGUGCAAGCGUUGUCCGGAAUUAUUGGGCGUAAAGAGCUCGUAGGUGGUUCGUCACGUCGGAUGUGAAACUCUGGGGCUUAACCCCAGACCUGCAUUCGAUACGGGCGAGCUUGAGUAUGGUAGGGGAGUCUGGAAUUCCUGGUGUAGCGGUGGAAUGCGCAGAUAUCAGGAGGAACACCAAUGGCGAAGGCAGGACUCUGGGCCAUUACUGACACUGAGGAGCGAAAGCGUGGGGAGCGAACA